CUCAGAGCAUGCAGGUAGGCAGUGUGAAGGCAAAGCUUCUGAAGUUGUAAAAGCAAGCAAAUCAGAAAUGGGCUGCUCUUAAUUUGACUGACGUAGCUGGCAAGCUCUACAGGCUACACUGUCAUGGUGCAGUCAGGACACAACACAGGAUCAUAUGGUGACAGGUGUCCCAGCAGGGUCAGAGAGCCAGGGAAGACCAGUCUACGGAGCUCGGGUGAAUUUUGCAGUAUAUAAUAACAAUUAGUGAAUGGAUACAAAAUUCCAUCUUGAUUUGAUAGGUACAGUCUGGGAAAAAUGGUAAUUUCAAUGAUUGAACCAUUAAUUAUAUUCACGAAUAAUAUAAUGUAUAAAUGUACACCAAGGUAAUUCUUUGUCAUGCCUCAUCUGAGCAGGUUCAGAUGGUGACAGGGGUCUCAGCAGGACCAGGGAAGGCCAGUCUGUGACGACGCUGAGCGUCAGGGACUGGGAGACUAGUCAGGAUCGAGGCACAGAUGAACAGAGCAAUAUACAGAGAGAUCCUUGAUGAAAACCUGUUCCAGAGCGCUCAGGACCUCAGAAGGGGGCUAAUGUUCACCUUCCAACAGGACACGGCCCUAAGCACACAGCCAAGACAACGCAGGAGUUGCUUUGGGACAAGUCUCUAUGUCCUUGAGUGGUCCAGCCAGAGUCCUGACUUGAACCCGAUCAGACAUCUCUGGAGAGACCUGAAAAUAGCUGUGCAGCAACGCUCCCCAUCCAAACUGACAGAGCUUUAGAGGAUCUGCAAAGAAUGGGAGAAUCUCCUCAAAUACAGGUGUGUAGCAACAUGCCUAAGAAGACUGUCAUAUAGAGUAGGCCAGAAGGCUAAACUGGAAAACCUAACCUCUAUCAAAAUAAAGAUGGCAAAGCCGCAGAAG
ensembl:lncRNA